rnacentral:rRNA from 1 species
CCUACGGGUGGCAGCAGUGGGGAAUAUUGGGCAAUGGAGGCAACUCUUACCCAGCAAUGCCGCGUGAAUGAAGAAGGUCUUCGGAUUGUAAAGUUCUUUAAUUGGGGACGAAAAAAAUGACGGUACCCAAGGAAUAAGCCCCGGCUAACUACGUGCCAGCAGCCGCGGUAAUACGUAGGAUCCGAGCAUUAUCCGGAGUGACUGGGUGUAAAGAGUUGCGUAGGUGGCAUAAUAAGUAGCUAGUGAAAUCUGGUGGCUCAACCAUUCAGACUAUUAGCUAAACUGUUAAGCUCGAGACCGUUAGGGGUAACUGGAAUUUCUAGUGUAGGAGUGAAAUCCGUAGAUAUUAGAAGGAACACCAAUAGCGUAGGCAGGUUACUGGGACGGUUCUGACACUAAGGCACGAAAGCGUAGGGAGCAAACGGGAUUAGAUACCCCAGUAGUC